ACUCAAAUGAAUUGACGGGAGCUCAAACAAGCAGUGGAGCAUGUGAAUUAAUUCGAUACAACGCGCAAAACCUUACCAAAUCUUGACAGCUUUUUUAAAGAAGAUUGUAUAAUCUAUCUAUUAACUAAAAAAGAACAGGUGCUGCAUGGCUGUCGUCAGUUCGUGUCGUGAGAUGUUUGGUUAAGUCCUCUAACGAACGCAACCUUCAUUUAUUUAUUACAAUUAGGCUUUAACUUUAGCCAAAAUUAAUUAAUAAAACUGAAGUCGAAAGACUUAGGAAGGGGGAGAUGACGUCAAGUCCUCAUGGCCCUUAUGAUUUGGGCUUUCCAUGUGCUACAAUGGUUUCUACAAAAUGUUGCUAUGGUGUAAAUCAAAGCUAAUCAAUAAAAGAAAUCUUAGUUCAGAUUGUUUUCUGCAACCCGAAAACAUGAAGGAGGAAUUGCUAGUAAUCGUAGAUCAGAAGGCUACGGUGAAAUGUUCCCUGAGCUUUGUACACACCGCCCGU
rnacentral:rRNA from 1 species